rnacentral:rRNA from 1 species
AAGAGCCCUGAAUACAAUAAGUAAUACCCGACGAACUUAAGCAUAUAAUUAAGCGGAGGAAAUUAAAACAACUGUGAUGCCCAGAGUAGUGGCGAACGAAAUGGGAACAGCACCUUCAAUUAACCGGAUUUAUCUGGUUUGUUUGAUCAGAGCUCGAUGAGUCUGUGCAGAGUUGUCUUUCUGUUGGAAAACAGUGUGGCUGGCGGUGAUGAUCCGCAACAAUUUCUACAUUCGCUUCUUGCUCUGUUUUCUGGAGUAGGCUACUUUCAAAUUGGUGGCUGAACUGCAGGUAACUCUCUGCAAACGCUAAAUAUUCGUUAAGUCCGAUAGUGCAGAAGUACCGUGAGGGAAAGGUGAAAAGACAGCUCAAAAGUUAGUUAACAGACCUGAAUCUACAACAACAGAAGGCUAUGCGUAUUGUUCUGGUCCUCGUGGAGUUCUCUCUCCGUUGUAUCAUCCAUUUUAUUCUUUCUAAGAGGAUCACAUGGUUGCAUUCGUGUAGCGCCCGUCUUGAAACACGGACUGAGGAGUCAUUCAUGCAUGCAAGUCGAUGAUGUUUAUUGCAUCUCAGCGCUAUGAGCAUGUUUGAAUGGACCCGAAAGGUGGUGAACUAUUCUUGGGGAAGUUGACGUCAGAGGAAACUCUGAUUGAGGACUUAUGUGUUACUGACGUGCAAUUCGUUCAUUUUACCUGUGAAUAGGGGCGAAAGACUAAUCGAACCACCUAGUAGCUGGUUCCCCCCGAAGUUUGUCCUAGGAUAGCGGGCGAGAUGUUUUGUCAUGUAUAGUAGAGCAAUGUUUGGCGGAUACGGGCGUGUAUACACUUGACCGACUCACAAACUACAAACGUACAUCUGAGUGGAAUAGUAACAUGUUCUCUCGGUAGAAAUUCUCGCCUCGUGGACCGUUUUUGGUAAGCAGAUGCGGUGCUUUGGAAUGCUCCAAGCGUGAUGAUAAGGAAUAUUUUUAUCGGUUUAUUGCUUCAAAAAGGUGUUAAUACAUUUAGACAGUCCGACGGUGGCCAUGGAAGUUGGAAUCCGCUAAGGAGUGUGUAACAACUCACGGACCGAAUGUGUUAGCCCUUAAAAUUGACUGUGCUUAUACCGUUGAUCCGAGAUGUCACAGAUCUAAUUUGUAUUAGGUUUUGUAGGGGGGUGUAUCUGUUGUGAAAAAGUGUUGUUGUGAUGCAGCAUCGAACUCCAGAUAGUGCAGAUCUCAGUAGGAGUAGCAGUGUUUAAGACUAAACCUUAAAGACGUAUGUAGACAAGGCUUUCAUANACACAUCAUAUGGCUAUGAGUUAGUCGAUCUUAACACAUCAAGAUGUUGUGGAAAAGGAUAAGGGUUAAUAUUCCCUUGCUUGUUCGAAACUAAUUUGGCGACUCAAUAUUCUUUCACCUUACCGAAAGUACACUAGUAAGUGCGUUUUCUAUGCACUAUGACUAUAUGAUCUCUGUUGAAGAGGAUAAUCCUAAGACGCUGAGUAAGUAUAGGAAAUGAGACGAUUAUUCGUCAACUAGGUGGUCUUGCGGCACUUUUAAGUGUGAGAUAGUAGUUACGAGCAGAUCGUACCAACAACCGCAUCAGGUCUCUGAGGUUCAUAACCUUUCGUUGAUGGAAAAAAAUACGUGAGGGAAGUCGGCAAAUUAAAUCUGUAACUUCGGGAAAAGGGAUUGGCU